UACAGAGCCUGCAAGCGUUAUUCGGAUUCACUGGGCGUAAAGGGUGCGCAGGUGGCCAAGUGUGUCAGGUGUGAAAUCCCGGGGCUUAACUCCGGAACUGCGCCUGAAACUGCAUGGCUAGAGCAUUGGAGAGGGUAGUGGAAUUCACGGUGUAGCAGUGAAAUGCGUAGAUAUCGUGAGGAACACCAGAGGCGAAGGCGACUACCUGGACAAUAGCUGACACUCAGGCACGAAAGCGUGGGGAGCCAAAGGG
rnacentral:rRNA from 1 species